rnacentral:lncRNA from 1 species
AGAAGCGCGGGCCCAACUCCUCGGAGAAGUAGGCGCCGCGAUGCGACGCCGUUCGGCUCGUACCGGUUCCUCACCCUUUCCGCUCUCAGUUUGCUUAUGCUCUUGCUGGUAGUAGUUUCGUUGUGCAAGCAGAGGAAGAACCUUUUGUAGUUUCAGCUUCGUUGUUCGUGUGAUGAGAUGGGAACUCGAGAUUAUAUAUGUCCCUCGUUAUUAAGAAUUUGAGAUAUGAUGAUAUGAGCCAAUGACUUUAUUUUGCUUCGUUGUUGUGCCUUUUAGUUGUCUUUGUGAAUGUUAUGCAAACAACUGAGCUGGAUCAUUAGGCUAUGGGUCUCAUGGCUACCUGACAGCAAUAAUUUGUUGCUUAGGCCUUGCAUUCCUCGCUUGAUUGACGAAUCAGCUGUUUGUCAAUCAGUAUUGCAGACGUAGUAUAAAUUUUAAUGGUGUCCCAAUUUGAAACCAGUUUGCUGUUAUACAUAUGUACUAGGUUCACCUAGUUGUGGAUGGAAGUGGAACCGAGCCUGCUAUUUGAUUGAAA